UUGACCUCGGAUCAGGUAGGGAUACCCGCUGAACUUAAGCAUAUCAAUAAGCGGAGGAAAAGAAACCAACAGGGAUUGCCCCAGUAACGGCGAGUGAAGCGGCAAGAGCUCAAAUUUGAAAGCUGGCUCCUUCGGGGUCCGCAUUGUAAUUUGUAGAGGAUGCUUCGGGAGCGGUCCCCAUCUAAGUGCCCUGGAACGGGACGUCAUAGAGGGUGAGAAUCCCGUAUGGGA
rnacentral:rRNA from 2 species